rnacentral:rRNA from 1 species
GACAGAGGUGCCGAGCGUUAGGCGGAAUCACUGGGCUUAAAGCGUGUGUAGGCGGACUUGUAAGUACCUUGUGAAAUCCCACGGCUCAACCGUGGAACUGCUUGGUAUACUGCUUGUCUUGAGCCACUUAGGGGCUACCGGAACAAAUGGUGGAGCGGUGAAAUGCGUAGAUAUCAUUUGGAACGCCAAUGGUGAAAACAGGUAGCUGGGAGUGUGCUGACGCUGAGACACGAAAGCCAGGGGAGCGAACGGG